UCAGAUGAACGCUGGGGUUGAGUUUAAAACUGCUCUGGAUGAACACUAGCGGCGUGCCUAACACAUUCAAGUCGAGCGAUUCCUUUGAGAAGAGCGGCUGUCGGGUGAAUAACGCGUGGGUAUCCUGCCCUGUACACUCGGAUAACAUACGUAAAGGUAUGGUAAUUCGGGAUUAUAUAUGAAAGUUGCAUUGCUUUGAUAUCAAAUCUUUUGCGGUACAGGAUGGGCUAGCGUCUGAUUAGGUAGUUGGUAAGGUAAAGGUUUACCAAGGUGAUGAUCAGUAGCCGACCUGAGAGGGUGAUCGGCCUCACUGGAGAUGAGACACGGUCCAGACUCGUACGAGAGGCAGCAGUGGGGUAUAUUGCACAAUGGGCGAAAGCGUGAUUCAGCAACGCCGCGUGAGCGAUGAAGGCGUUGGGGUGGUAAAGAUCUGUCAUCAAGGAAGAUAAUGGUGGUACUCGAGGAGGAAGCCCCGGCUAUUUACGUCCCAGCAGCCGGGGUAAUGAGUAGGGGGAUAGCGUUUUCGGGAAUUUGUGGGUGUAAAGGGUGUGUAGGGGUUAUUUAAAGCCAGAAGUGAUAGGCUGGGUCUCAACGGUAGUAAGAUUUAGGAAUUGUAGGAUUGGAGUGCAGGAGAGGAGAGUGGAAUUCCUAGUGUAGCGGUGAAAUGGGUAGAUAUUAGGAGGAACACCAGUAGGGAAGGGGGCUCUCUGGACUGUAACUGACGCUGAGGCAGGAAAGCGUGGGGAGCGAACCAGGAUUAGAUACCCCUGGUAGUCCACGCCGUAAACGAUGAGUACUAGGUGUCGGGGGUUACCCCCCUCGGUGCCGCAGCUAACGCAUAAAGUUACUCCGCCUGGGAGUACG
rnacentral:rRNA from 1 species